rnacentral:rRNA from 1 species
CAGCAGCCGCGGGAAUACGUAGGUGGCAAGCGUUGUCCGGAAUUAUUGGGCGUAAAGGGCUCGCAGGCGGUUUCUUAAGUCUGAUGUGAAAGCCCCCGGCUCAACCGGGGAGGGUCAUUGGAAACUGGGAAACUUGAGUGCAGAAGAGGAGAGUGGAAUUCCACGUGUAGCGGUGGAAUGCGUAGAGAUGUGGAGGAACACCAGUGGCGAAGGCGACUCUCUGGUCUGUAACUGACGCUGAGGAGCGAAAGCGUGGGGAGCGAACAGGAUUAGAUACCCCCGUAGUCCCUGUCUCUUAUAC